UCCCUCCCGGCUAGCACCGAAGCCCGAGCCCCAGCUCCCAGGCCCCGCCCGCCCCGGCGGCUGAGCAGACAAGCCUCUCGGGCUGGUGAGCGCUGGUCGGCACCGCUCCUCUGUGCGGGAAUCUCCGCCUUGCCCUCCGCACCACUGCGGCUGCGCUCUCCUCCGUGGCUCCGAAGCUUCCCCCCUCUGCUACCCGCAGUCCAGGCAUUUACUUUUAGAGAAAAUAACCUGCUCAUUUCAGUGGAACAAGAUGGACAGCCAAGGUCAAUGAAGCAUCAAAAUUCUGUUCUAGCCUGAGCUCAGAAUUGUACUGCUUGAAGCAGUGUUACAGUAAGUCCCCGACAUAUGAACCUUCAAGUUGCGAACUUUCAAAGAUGCAAACGUGCGUUCGCAUGUCCAGUCAGUUUCUGCUGCCCCAAGUGGAGUUGAUAAUGUUGUGGGAUUGACUUGGAAGACAAGAUGAAUGGACUUGGAAGAGAAGCUACAGAUCCUCUUACGAACUCUUUUUUGAUUUAACAGCCAGCUUCUGAGAACCUGGCAAAGACCUUGGAGAUGGCCUAGUUGUAAGAUGGAAGGAGCUGGGUCCCUGAAUCACUGAUUAGAAGAUUCCGCAGUAAACACGUCAUUGGACUGUGAUGGACUCUGUAUGGAUGUCCAGUGGAUUGUGCUAAGCCACUGAGAGCUGUCUGGUUACGCAGCAAGACAUUCUGCUGGCUGACACACCGUGUACCAGUCCCUUUCUCUUCUGCAAGCUCAUGCCACAUCAGUGCCAUGUACAAAAAAGAAAUGGUCAAUUGUAUUUAAAGAGAUGGAAGAUACUAUCCUUGAGUGGUAACUUGAAAAAUCACAAGGUGAAGAGCAGUGUUAUGUACAGGAGGACAAUUCUUCUAAAAAGGAAUUUGGAGUUUUGGAUGACUUUUUGAAAGCGGGCCUGGAAAGUUGAAGUAGAAAUGUGUCUUUGAAUUUGUCUCUAAUGAAAUGGAAAUGGAUUCCAAGCUAUUGGAAAUUUUGGUUCCUUCUAGAAGAGAAGCAGGG